rnacentral:tRNA from 1 species
CCCUCGGUGGUACAAAUGGUUAAUGUGCUUGGCUGCUAAUCAAAAGGUUGGUGGUUCAGGUCCACUCAGGGGCA